AUUGAACGCUGGCGGCAGGCUUAACACAUGCCAGUCGAGCGAGAGGCGGACGGGAGAGUAAUGUAUGGGGACUGCCCGUGAGAGGGGGAUAACGACGGGAAACGGUAGCUAAGACCGCAUACUUUCGGCUAACACAUAUGGGAUUAGCUAGUAGGCGAGGUAAUGGCCCACCUAGGCGCCGCACCCUAGCGGGUCUGAGAGGAUGAUCAGCCACACUGGGACUAGGACACGGCCCAGACGCCUACGGAGGCAGCAGUGGGGAAUAUUGCACAUAGGGCGCAAGCCUGAUGCAGCCAUGCCGCGUAUAUGAAGAAGGCCCUAGGGUUGUAAGGUACUUUCAGUCGGUGGGCGUUACCGACAGAAGAAGCACCGGCUAACUCCGUGCCAGCAGCCGCGGUAAUAC
rnacentral:rRNA from 1 species